rnacentral:lncRNA from 1 species
CCCACUUUCCGGCCACAAGGAUCAAGGCCCAAAGGGAGGCAGCAGCACUGCCAAGAACCAGGCAGCAAGGAGCUCACGCUCAGGCUUAAUGCAAACACCUGGCCAGGACGGAAGUUUGAUCCUGCAAGAGCCAAGCAAUGCAGCAGCUUCAUCUCAUUGGGCAGAAGAUAAGCACUGCACAUGCAGAUCUUCCAGAUGUCCCAGGACUUGUCCCAGGAAUCUUCAUACGCCCUCUGAAAGCCAGUUGUAAUGGAAAGGCUGCUUCAUGUGAUGCAUCGAACACGUUUCAUUUUGUGGCCCUCAAAUUGAGCAAAAAGGGCUGUCAGAGCAAGGCUGCAGGAUUCAGGCUCUGACCUUCACACCCUGCUUUCUCCUGUUCUCGCUGGUACUGUGUGCUGAGGGGAGGCUCCUGCAGCACCUGCCCUGGGAUAAGGCAUCACGGUUUGUUCCUGUCCCUGCCUUCAAGGUCUGUGCCAUUCCACACGGCUGUUUCUCUAGGAGAAAGCGUGUGUUCAGCAGUGUGAACCGUCUCCACAGAGCUGCAGCCUGGCUGAGUAACACAAUCCUUCACCUCUCCCCUUGGAGAACAGAAGGGACAGAAAUGUACUGACUACAACUAGGGGCAUCCCAUCCUGGUUUUGCUGCUGUCACGAGCCCCUCUUGUUCUGUCGGAAGGGUUUUGUGUGCAGAGAGAUGUAGCAGAUAGGCUGUGUUUGCCUGGGCCAUGAAGAGUAACAACCCUUUACAAGCAAAGAUGCGCUCUUUAGCCUGCCAGGCAGUGUGCUUGGGAGCUCCACUGCUUCCUCAGGAUGUCCACAAAACGUCAUCCAACAAGAUGGCACCUACCAGCUGCUCUCACCUGGGUGGGCAAUGUGAGCCACUGUGUGCUCUGCCGGCCCUGUGCACAGUGAGGGGCGCUGGUGGUGUGAAUGGGAGAAACCAUAAAGGCAGUUAGAGUGGGAAGGGAGAGGAAUUGCACCAUCCGUUAUCCAACUUGAGCAAAGUGACGUGAAGAAGGAUAUUAUUUUAGAAAGUUUAUCUCUUUAGUAUCUAUGGUGACAAGAUGCUUAUCGGAGUAAGACAGACUCACAGGCUGUCUGCUCCUUGUUAUCUCAGUGUAGGAUGACAGUAUAAGUAUCACGUCUAGAAAUGUUAUCUAUCCUUUAUUAUUUCACUUGUGAGGGUCUAACAGGAGUGUUAUCAGGGUGUUUACAAUCAAAACACGUGCGGCUCAAGUGAUAAAAAGGAGAACAGACAUCUGAUCUCCAAGGAUAUGAAGACAAUACAGCCUUGAGCAGGAGGAGAUGGAUCUUAUUGGAAAUGGUUUGUCGGGCUGGGAAUGGACAAGCAAGCCCGCGUGAUUGCUCACAUCAUAAGCUUGAGAGAUGGGAUGGGGGAGAAGCACGCGUACGAGCGCACGCGGUCUCACAGAAAAUGAAAAGGCGAUUGUAUCAACAGCACUCUCAGCUGAAAGAGAAAUAUUUUCCAAUAAUUUCGUUACGAUUUGAUGUAUUCUGUGCUCUCCUCUCCCUUAGAGCGGUAAUGUGGCGAGCUGGCAGGACCAACAAGUGCCGUAGAGUUGCUUGGAGUGAGUCAGAAGCUGAGAAAGCUUACCCAGGCUCGGAGGGUGGAGAGCAGACAGCUGGUAAGAUUGCUUAUCAGGGGCUUCCUUUAGAUUAGCACAACGCUGGCCCAAGCUUCUGCAAGGUAAGGAAUCAAUUUCGGGGUUAGUGGUGACUAUAAACCUUAUCCUAGAUCUCCUUAGGGCCAGGGAGGCUAAAUUCCUCACGGACGGAGGUGUACAAAGAUCUCCCAGACAUCAGAUCUCAUUCGUUUACAGCGUGAGCAAGCCAGGUGCUCAGUGGUGUCAAAUGCUGAUUUUCUUACUUGGCAUGAAUGAUCCUCAGCUGUUAAAGAUAGGGCUGGAUUGUGCAAUGCUCUGUUCAAACCCAGGUCUUACUCCUGGAGGUGGCUGUGUUCUUGGAUAGAUAGACUUCAUUGGAUGUUUUCUUCUUCUGUUGCAGUUAGACUCCAUUCUCCUAAGGUACAACAGUUCCCUUAAGCCAAGCAGAGUGCUUUUAUCCCACAAGAUAACAUGGAGUGAGGAGUGUGUCUUCUGGGGGUCAUAGAUGGGGGGCCAGGCAUGGUGAGGUGCAAUGGGUGGGCACAUUGUGGCCUCCUGGUGACAAACCCACCUCUGAGCAUCUCUUCCUGACUGUAUAGCUGGCUUCCAACUGGAGGUAGGCAGCUUCUUUGGGUAGGGGGUAGGGAAGGAACACAAGCAUCUCCCCCUCAGCACAGUUCUGCAUUAGCCUGCCUGCUCAGCUCCAUAUUCAUCUUGAGCUGGGUAUCACACAAAGAGAACUGCUUUCAACCUGUCUCAAUGACUCUCCCAUCACUCUCUAAUGGCUGUCAACUGCAGGUAACCCUUCUUCACCUGUGGAAACUGGCAGCAACACCUCGGGCUCGUUUAUGAGAAAUUAUCUCUGGUUGUGAUACACGGUGCAUUUUUUUUUUUUCAUUUGAACCCCUAGCUUGGCAGGGCCAGUGGGGCUGUUUUGUAUGGUAAUAUAUGACCCAUCACUCCUCUCCUGCCCUUCGUCUCUCACACCUUUAAUUGCACUUGUGUUUCUGAAGCAUAUGGAAUUCAUUAUUCAGCAAGCAAGGUCCUUUGCAAUAUCAGCCUUAAUUAACUGUUCCCCUCUGCAUUUUCUUGCUCUUAUCCUCUCCAAAUCUACACACCAAGACAGGCUGAUGGCCCCCCACAUGCAUCAGUGCCAGCCAGUGAGCCGUGACCAGAUAAGAAGAAAUGGAAUUCCUUAUCUUUUUUUUUUUUUCCUUCUUCUUUCUUAAAAUACAUGUACACACAAACCUGGAAAAGGUCAAGGUUACUGGGAAGGGAGAAGGCACUUCAAGACAACAAAACCCCCUUCUCUUUCAAGUCUCCAUAGCAACUCGAAGGAGCAUCAUGGGAUGUCAGGAUGAGAGAGGCCUAUUCUUUUCAUGCAACACUCUUUCCACUUCAUUAGACUCUUUAUCAAGUAUCUCUGCUCUGGGCUGAGUAUAUUUUUUUGUGUCAGGGAGCAGUGCAGAUGACUCAAAAGCACGCUGACCUUUUCAGUGGGACCCGGGAGUUCCUUGUGGGAGCUGCAUCCUCUUCCCUUGCCUUCCUCCCCCACAGCCCCUUGCCUCCAGUUCGCAUGACCUCGGUCUGCCUGGCCUUCUCAUCAAAACCCCGUGGCUGGGGAGGGAUGAAGGGCUUCUUUUAAAGGAGAAAGGGGGAAAAAAAAUAAAGAGAGCAGAGUAUGAGAAUGUCCUUCGCUGGCACUGGAGGUGUCAAGACCCAGCUGUCAGAGCCGUGCAUCUAUGGGGAAGAUUAAUGACUCUGCUCAGAGAAAAUCCAAAUAAAAUAGGACAGAAUAAAUGCCAAGUGACUGGGCGGAGGAUGAGGGGAAGAGUGAGGAAGGAGCGAGGCAGUGUGACGGGGCGGAGGUAUUCCUCAGUCUCGGAAGUGCUUUAAUUCCCCGUGGAGGAACAAGUUAGCAUAGGAACGCUCUUUAGGUUUCACCCCAUGGUCUUGAAGAGCCGUGUCUGUCUGUGUGCAUCGGGGUGUGAGCACGCUUAUAAAGCACUGGUUGUACCGAGGCACCGAGGCUGUAUGUUUUUAUCUUUACUUCCUUGGAAAAAUACCCACCGUAGAGAAGCCUUUUGUUUUAAGCUUCUCACCACGUUAGCCCGUUUCAUCCUCUAGAUAUCUUGAAUUGCUUUGCAAAUCAAUGUGCUGCUUGUUCUUGGGAAGCUUCAAUGCCUGUUUUAUGCUGGGCAGUAGCACACAGCACAGCUUGGAGGGAAUAAAGGGGCUGCAACUGUGCUGUGGUUGUGGGAUUGCACUUGAGCUGCAGGCCCUUAGACCUAACCUUCACGAGAUACCAAGGCGCUGUAACUGCCUUUAGUUUUUAAGAUGAUCCUUUGGAUUUUUACUUCUUCCAGGGAGCUGUUCCGUGACAGUUUGCAGCUUAAUUUGAACAGACUUCAUGCUCUGAGAGCCCAGCUGAGCUCCUCACCAUAACAGCACACGGUGUGAAACUCCGUAUGUUGGAAGCCGCGUGCAUUGGAUGAGGAGAGGGACUCGUUAGCGUGGAUGACUGACAAGGCCAAAGUCAUUUAACCAAGUGUUUGUAAAGAGCCUUGAACCUGGACAUGCUCAGACUGUGUGCUCCAAGCUAGAUGAUUUACAUGGGUGAUUUUAGGAGGAAAAACUGUAGAAGAAAAAGCUUUGCACGUACAGUAGGAAUCAGGGUUAUGAAUAUCCCAGUCCAACUGCUUCGAUCCUCGGAGGAGUAAUUCUGAAGUGGGAAAUCCCAUUAACUCAUAAUAGGGCUCUUAAGUAGUUCCCUAUGAUGAAUUUGUGGCACUCUGCAAGUCUCAUAAUUCCCAAUAUACAGAUGAGGAAACUGAGGUUAAGUGACUUACCCAAGGUCACGUAGGAAAUCAAUAACCACUGCAGCCCGCGCCGGCAGCACCUCUCACUGACUGUGAGUGACUCUGAAUCAGGGAAUGAUUUGUGUUGAAAGGGGCCUCAAAGAUCACCCAGUUCCAGCCCCUGCAGUGGGUUGGUGGCCACCCACGACAUCAGGCUGCCCAGGGCUGAAUCCAACCUGGCCUUGGACAGCUCCAGGAAUGGGGCACCCACACUUCUCUGGGCAAACCGAAUGGUGAUAAUCAUCCCCAGUGCUGGCAGAGGAAACUUGGUGUCUGAACCCUGUAUCAUGUCACAGCUCUAAAGAAUGUCCCAGGGUCUCGGGGGAGGCUUGGCCAUGCAGAGCUGAGUGGCUGGGACUCUCCCACCCCGAUCAGAGCAACGCUGCUUUGCUGUUUCCUGGCAGAUGGGUGUCCUCUUGUUCUCAGGAUCCUCAAAUAUGGAUGCUCUGUGGUCUCCUGCUGUCCCAGUUUAUCCCAGUGCCCUCUGCCAUCUGUCACAGCACUGUUGCUUUCCCGUGGCACGGCAGGCAGGAGCCCGAAUCCCACACUCUCCAUCUGUGUCAGGUGCUCUGGCUGUGCUCAGCAGUGUGUUUCUUGUGAUCUGAAGCUUAUGUCUGAAAAAGCAGGCAGAGCAUGUCUGUGGCAGGUGUGCAGUGUUGGGGGUGGGAUCCUCUCUCAUAUGAUGGCAGGAAAUUGCCUCGUGCAGGACCUCUCUGCUGUGGUGAGUGUGAGAGCCUCUGCCAGUACCUGUGCUCCUUCUUUCCUCCUGCUGAUUGAGCUCACCGCUCGUGUUCCAGCUCCUCUGCUCGCUGCUUUCAUCUCAGGUUUGCAGGGGAAUACACUGCUGGCAUAGGGGUGUUCCAGCACUGGGGACUGGUGUGAUCAAUGCAUGCUUCCUUACCACGUGUGGUGGGUCCUGCAGGAAGGGGCUGUGCUUCCCAGGGUCCAACGUGGGACUCCUCACAGUAACACUGACCAUCACCUACGUGCUCUUCCUAUCACUUGUUGCUCUUUCCAGAACUAGCAGCUGGUGUGACCCAGCGAUGAGAGGUGCGAGACGGGGUGCAGACACCCAGCAUCACUCAGGUCUUCUGCAGGAGUUUUUCCUCUGUCCAGCUUCUCAGUUCUUUUUUUAUAGUUUCCCUUCAGCUGAUUCAUAGCUAUUUGAAUUGCUGAUUUCACUCGUACUGUUACUGUGGCCUAGUGCUAAUGAUCUGUCUCUAUUUCCUUCCCAGGUAGUAAAGCACAGCAAUACUCUGGAGCCUGCUGUCUGAAUGAGCAUGUGCUGGGAUUAACCUGCUGCCCAACAGCUUGCUAUAUUUUCAUAGUGCUUCCCAUAGCUGCCAGUCUGACAGGCCUCUGAAAGCUGAGGGAAGUGGUUAGUGAUAAGGUGUGGGCACUGAGAACAGCUACACUUUAAGGCCUCACAAGGACAGCAUGCAUUUCUUGUAUGGCUCCAUUUUCCGAUCAGCAUCUCUACACAUAUUUGUCGCUUGCCAGACCCUCAGUCCUCUUUGACUUAACCUGCUGAGAAGGGAGGAUGCUCAGGAGCAUGCAGGCGGAGCAGGAAGCUCAGGGCUAUCUGCCAUAACCCAACCCAGAGACCACUCUGCUCCGCAGCUGGUGCUCCAGCCACCUGCACUGCCAGCACUGAGCUCCAGCUCCAUAACCCAGUGCCUGCGGGCAGUUUUCUGACCUUGUGUAGGGCGAAGAUCUCAACACUCCGUGCAUAUGUGGGGUGAAUGCUGUGGCAGAGGUGUGGCCAUGUAGACAACCCCCUGUUUUGCAACGCACGGCAGAGCACUGGUGUCUCAGGGACAGUUGUAGCGCAGGGGAUAUUUUGUACUGCAAACUGCAGCUUUAAAAAAAGCACUCAAUGUUGGUUCAAGGUUUCAUUCCUGAAGCCUUAAGGACUGAAUAUAUUCACUGUGUCCUUCUUUAUUUGCAGGUUUAAGGCACGACAGACUUGUUCCGCUGAUUAUUCUGACUGCAGUUUUAGCUCUCCCCUCCUGGCUGUCAAAGAGGAGUUGGUCCUUGUAUGCAAGAUCUUAAACCACGUGUUGGGAGCUCAUGCAUGGAGCAGAGCAGCGGUAUCAGAGGGGAUCCGAGUUGCUUGGAGCCCUGCUUGUGUGAUUCACCGGUGGCACUGAAGACCUUCCCCUGCAGGCUGGAUCCUGGACAGCGCUCCCAUCCCUGCACCUCCAACCUCAGUGCCCGGGUGGUGGAGCCAGGAGGUUCUGGAACAAGGCAGCAAAACUUGCUCGGUGUAGACAAAGCCAUGUGACAGUCCCACCUAACAGCAACCAUGCUACUGGGAACGCAGACAAAGGUGUCACUGUGAUUAAUGGGGCACUCAUCUGAGCACCGCGUCCAGGAGCACAGGUUGCACCUUGCCCUGGUGGCCCGGCUUUUGCAGGCUUUGUCUGCUGUGAGUCCUGCUCAGAAAUGGCUGGAAGGAAUUCAAGGACAGAGGCAAAAAGCAUGGGGCUUAGCCUCAGACUCCCUCAGGAAGGGAAGGACGUGCAUCCUGCCUGUCCUGUGUUCCUCUCCAUGGACUCUUUCCAAGGUGUUGGUCUCCAGAAUGCUCCUGGCUCUGCUCUUCUUGGAAGCAAUGGUGAGACAUCUGUCAGUGUGAGCCCAUAGAGGGAAGCUGAGGUAGGUCACUUUGUAGUCAAUUCAGCUAACUUUUUCUCAAGUCUGAAUUAUCUCAAGGAAAAAUAUAGUUUUGGGUUUUCUGGAUGUGGUCCCAGCCCUAUUUCUGCAAAUGUGGCAUCUCUCAGUUAGGAGAGGGCAGUGCGAGAGUGGGGUGAGGCAGCAGGUCCCUUGCAAGCUGGUAUGCCACCAGAUCAUGCAGAUGGGUCAGGUUUUGUGCCGUGUUCAGGUUAAUGCUUUGCAAACACUAGGUCCAGACAAGAAGCAGUAGCUCCAAUAAUGUUUAAACGAGCUUAAAAUCUGGAGAUGAGAUCUGUAGGCCUUGUGCAAGGAGCAGGACAGUGGAGCACCCAGAAGUGGAUUUAAGACAUGUAGCUGCUUUGUUCUGGGCUUUGUUGAAACAGACUGCCCCGGGAGGUAGUGGAGUCACUGUCCCUGGAGGAGUUCAAGAACAGUGGAGAUGCGACGCUGAGGGACGUGAGCAGUGGGCAUGGUGGGAUGGGCUGGGGUUGGAUUUGGGGAUCUUAGAGGUCUUUUCCAACUUUAAUGAUUCUGUGAUUCUAUGAUUAGAAGAAGGUGGAGCAGUCACAGGGCUCCCAUGGUUCAGAAUUUGUCCAAGAUCUCUCAGUGUCCCCAUGCUGAAGGGCAGUGCUUGUGCUGGGAUGGUUGGAGCUAACCUGAGAUCCUCCCCAGGUGCUGUGGUGUGGUGCAGGCUGCAUUGGCAGAGGAGGUGCAAUGGGCAAGCAACAAAGUGCAGGAUGGGCCCUGAAAUGCCCUGGGACAUUGGUUUGCCAAACUUCUGUGUCAGUGGUACUGUCAACAAUGUCCUGCCAAGAAGCAUCAGCAGGCAUGCAGCUGAGAUUUCCCUUCCCCCCCCCCUCCUUUUCUUUCAUUCUAUUACUCCUGUUAAAUUCUCUUCACUGCACUCACUCUAAUGGUGCCUCAUUUGGUUUAUGUCCUUCAAACUCUUCCCUUUAAACACGUAGUCAUCACUUAGCUAAACUACUGUAUACAAAUAUAGCUCUUUUGAUCUUCCUACGUAAAUCAAUACCUCCUGCCCUUUAAUCUUCCUAGUGGCUUUCUCUGAACUCCCUGCAAUUUACUAUCCAUCUUUGAAAGUGAGUUGUCUUUUGGGCUUGAUUCUCUACAAUUUCAAACCUCCUGAAGUCCCAAUAGCUGCCCACAGCAGGUGCACACGGUGGUUCUCCACCACUCUGUUCAUGCUGAAGUAAUGCAAACACUUGCAUACAAGGCAUUUCAUGUCCCCUUAGGCUGGUGUGGCUCCCCAUGCCAGAAGUGAGUGGUCAUGCAGCACAAGCCCAUAUUUUCAAAGUAGUUCUCACAGGAUGCUAAAAGCCAUGGCGCAAGCCAUUGGGUGCCAUUUGGGGUUGAAGGAGAGUUGUAAUGGUUGAGUUAUGGAGAGGACUUUCUGCAGUUAUUGGUGGCUGUAGAGAUGAAUCUCAUCUUCUCCAUAGCAGUAGAGCCUGUAGAUGCAAGCAAGCAAGCCCAAGAUAAAGAUUUGUCCCCUGAGAGUGGGCAAUGUAUGUGUCCCUUCCUUCACAGGACAGCUCACCUUACCUGGCUGCAGGUGGGACCUUUUGAUGGGGCUAGACCAUGGGCUCAGCAGGAAACCAGAUCUGGAAGCCCAUCCAGGGUGCAUGUCAUCUCUGUGCAGGGAAGGGUUGCCUUGUCAGCUGCUUUGCAGUGCCAGGAGCUCUGAGAAAUAACCUUGUGCCUUGCUUUGAUGCAAGUGUCAGACACAAGUCCAGCACACUCUCUAACCCAUGUGUCCAGUCUGCUGGUUGUAUUAUGUUUAGUAAAUAAGGUUGUCACUGGAGUGGUCUCGAGGGCAAGAAUUAAGGAAUCUCUUAGGGAUUGAAGAGACAAUUGUACAGUUCUCCCCGUCCUUGCCUUGACAGUUACCUCCAGUUUUCCCCUGGGACCAUUCCACUCUUGAACUGGGAAUGCUGUGAUUCAUAGAAUCACAGAAUCACCAAGGUUGGAAAAGACCUCCGAAAUCAUCCAGUCCAACCACUCACCUACCCCCAGUAUUUCCCCACUAAACCAUGUCCCUCAGUACAACGUCUAGACGUUUCUUGAACACCUCCAGGGAUGGGUCUCAACCACCACCCUGGGCUGCCCAUUUAAAACCAUUGCAGUAAAUGUCUUUUAUUCCCCCUCAUCUUUCAAAGGGAGGGGUUUAUAAUAGCAAUAACCCCUUCUUUUAGCAAUAACCCCUUCUUUUAGCAUUUCAUUAUGGGUCAAAUAAAAGCAUAUCAGAGCACGAGACAGAGAAUCUCACCACUCUGCUUGCCCCCAAAGGAUAAACAUAGUAGUGCUGCUACGGGCCCUAUAGCUUAAUUAGUUGCUAUUCUCUGCAGUUCCAAAAAAGGAUGAAAAAAAUCCUUUGCAAAGCCUAGGCAGGCUGUCUGUGUCAUAUUUCCUGUGUUCUUAGAGGUGUUAAUGAAUUCAUUAAUCACUUAAUGGCAAGGAGGGUCUUUGGGGACCAGCACUGCAAUUUACUGCUCCCAGGAGGCAGACUCUGUCACUGAUCUAAAGUUUCAGCUCCGCUAAUUUGUGCCAGCAGAGCCGCUGAGCUUCUGCCUGCAGCCCGCAAGCAUUGUGGCUACUGGGAGCAUCACAGCAGCACGCAAAGCAUCAGGGUAUGCUCACUUGGGAAGGUUUUGCAACGCGCAACGUUCUGGCUCUGAAAAGUUCAGAGCCCACAUGGAGGCAAGGAGGUGUUCCCCCAGCCUUGCAGUUGUGUUGCCUUGAUUCUUUUCAUUGGGAUAAGCUUGCUGCUAAGCCAGUCCUUGCAAUCAACUGGGGAAUGCAGCAGGAGCCUUGCUGACUUACAGGAAAUGCAAGCUAUGGAAGCGUGGCUGUAUAAUCUGGUCUGGGACUGCAGGCUAUGCAAUGAAAGGAGUCUGUGAAUCUCUUCUAAUUGAAGAGCGUCAGGCUGAUGUAUUUUGACUGAAACUGUCAGUUAAAAUGUGAAUUUGAAUGUUUGCAUUUCUGCUCUGCAGAAAAUGUUGAUUAUUUCAGUCUCUCGCCCUUGUUGCAGGAGAGUCACUUGUGCCAAAGUUCCCUACAAAAUGUCUCUUUUGGCUUCUUUCUCAUCACACGGCAGUUCAAGGAGAGGGGGACGUGAGCAGAGCCCUCCUCUCCGCUAAUUCCAUUCCACCAGCCUGUCAUCACGUUGCAAUUGCCGCUUCUAAAAGGUUUUUCUGCCUUGCUUUUCUGUGGCUGAGCUCCCCUUUCUAACUUCUGUCCGUCUUUCUCCUCGGUCUGUUGCUUUCCCAGGCUGGGAGUCAAAGAGGGCAAAGUACGUCAGAUGUGAGCAGGAGGGAGGGCAGAGUCCAUGGGUCAUGGCUGUCUGUGUGUGUGCACGUGCUCGCCUUCCACCGCUGGUAGCCUCCUUGGAGUCAUUCCCACACUCAUGUUCUUUGCUCAACAGUUACUGUAGGGAGGAGAGAGCUGGAAGGCAGGACAGAAGCUACAUGUUGAAUCAAAGGAGAGAAGGCGGGAAUACAAAACCACUUCAUCGUGGAAAACACAAAGGGAGACAAUUUCAGUAAAUGCCAGAUGGUCAAAAUUAACCAGAGACGUGUAGAGCCCUACAUGUCCAACUGUUUGCUUUGGCAGAGAUUCUUCAGCUUUUCGAACAAGAGUCUCUGGGGCGCCCUUUUCUUCUCCUUGGCUUUCCUCCUCUCCUUUGCUCAUCCUUUGGACUCCUCACCCCACCCUUCUCCUCUGGCUGUUUUUCCUGCCUCUCCUCUCUCACUGCUGCCCAUGAGUCAUGUUGCACCUCAAAUGCCAGCUUGUGUUACGGCGAGGGGAGACCACUGCAAAGAAAUGUCCUCAUGCAACAACAGACUUGGAGGGCAUGCAAGGUGGUGGCUGCAGCUGUCAAGGACCACUGCCAGCACAGCCCUGUGGAAAUGCUGGAGCACUUCAACCCAGUGCUUGUUGUUGCUGUGGGUAUUAAUUUCUUCCUCCCCUCCCAAGGGCCUUGACUCAGCUUUGAUUUUUUUUUGUUUCAGCCAGGAAUCCAGAAGGAGUUCUUGCGGUUCAGUAAGCAGAGGAGCAUGCAUAAGUUGCUUACCAUGAUGGAGCAGUGGGAUGUAGUCUUAGUGGGGCAGGGGGAUGCAACCUUGUUGGGGCAGUGGGACAUGUCCUUGUUGGGGCAGUGGGACAUGGCCUUGCUGGGGCAGUGGGACAUGGCCUUGCAGGGGCAGUGGGAUGUAGUCUUGCUGGGCAGUGGGCCAUGGCUGUGUUGGUGCAGAAGGAUGCUGUCUUGUUGGGGCAGAGGGACACGGCGUUCUUGAAUCCAAGCCAACUGCAUGGCAUGUUCCUCCAAACAAUGCAAUCAAGAGGGCCCUUGUAUGGCACAGACGGAGAGCUCCAGCUAACGACGGGCUCUUUUGUGUGCGCGUGUGCUCUCUGCAUUUGAAACAUUUAUUAUUCCAAAUUGCCUUCUGCACAUUUUACAAUAAUUACGACUAGUGUUUGCCUUGUUAUCUCCACAGUUACUAACAAGAAUGCCAUCAUUAUUCCAGUCAUUAGCAAAAUGGAUGUUGUUGUCCAGAGUUGCCGGCUGUGGGCCUGCUUUCAGAAGGAGUCUCAUGCUCUCCAACCUUGCCUACUCCAUCUUUCUUCCAGGGGAAUAUUGUUCUCAGUAGGUUUGAACCUGAGCGGGCGGAGGGGAAGCAGAGAUUUCAUGAAGAAGAAUUGCUUUGAGGGAGUGCUGGUGGGUGUCAGGAUUCGCAGCAGUGAGCACUGGGAAUCUGUUAAUGGCAACAUUAGUAGGAACGAGAGUAAAGGCAGCCAUUUGCCCGUGUUCCUUGUGUAUUUGGUGUAUCUUAGGUCUGCUCCUGCUGCUAGGAUCCAGUAACUCUUCCUGUAAGAAUGUGUUGCUUGGAUGUGAAGAGAUGCUAUCGAUCUUACAAUGGAGGUUGCAGAUGAAGGAGAAAAGGUUGGAAUUAAGCCGACAGCACUCAGCUGCUGUAAGCCGGACAUUGCAGAAUGGUGGCUUGCAUGAAGCCAGAGGCCAAGCUCUAUGGUCUGGAGCCUCACAGGGAGUCCUCCAAGUGAAGGAUGAGCCCUGAGCUGCAGGAGAGAUCUACUCCCACUAAACCAACCUCCCGAGGGGACUUACUUCGUUUGACUGGCUCCGUCAUCCUCAGGAGGAAACUUUCCUCUGCAAGAUGGUGAAAUAGUGCCCAUGUGGAAACGUUCUGACUGCAUGCGCCUGGAGUCCGGCAUUGUUGCAGAGGAGGAGGGCGGCAUAGGAUGGCUCCAAAGAAAAGAGGUCUGCAUCAGAAGGAAAACCUCCUGCCAUGCCAGCUUGCCCAGACCUAACGGUGAGACGGCCUUUCCCAGCUACAUUAAGGGCUGCUUCUUGUGGACUGGAAGUAUUGCCAAAGAGUGAGUGAUCCUUAUUAAUAUGCAUCUCCAAAAACAACAGGCAGUCUUGCACAGAUCCUCUCACACGUAUCUUUGGAUUUUGAGACAGUGGAGAGCUAUUUAUUCCCUCUCACACCAAUGUCAGCCAUAGCGCAAGAUGUCUUGAGCUGAUUAAAAAUCUCUUUAAUCAAAUGCUGGCAGGGGAAGUGUUCAGAAUGUUAGAAGGAUGACUUUGACAAGCUGCCCCUGCACUGUGAGUGACUUCAUCCAGAGGUUGGCCCGGCAGACUGGCGUGUGAUACAAAGCCUCCACUCACCUUGAUUUCCAAAGCUGCCAACAAACUGCAGUGACGAUGCUGAGAAGCCAGUAGGGCACUGUAGCCUGUGCUCAGUUCUUCUCCGUUAGAUACUGACCCCCCCAAAAAAAACCUUUGCUACAGGCAAAAUCCAUCACUCGAUUCAUCAACCCCUACCUACGCUUCAAAUUCCUAUAUCCCAAAUCCAUGGGAACGAUUUUGAACAUGAAUGUAGGCUGGAAAUCAUUGCUGUGCAGAUUGUCUGGAGGCUUUUUUUUCCCCCCUGUUCUAUGGCUGAACUGGACUUCAAAAGAAUAAAUAAAAUCCAUUCUGGUAGCACCCCCUCCUCCCCCCCCCAACCCCCCAGGAGGAGUGUACUUCUAUGGAGAAAGGGCAUAAAGAAACCUCCUGAUAUUUUAUUCAACCAGAAUUAAGUGUUUUGAUUUUGGGGAAUUCAGCUAAUUUUCUUACUCCUCAAAAUAGGUCAGCUUUGAAAUAGAAGAUGUCACGCUGUAACAAAAAAAGGGGAAUAGAUUUGUUUAGUGAAUGUAAGAUUAUACAUACAUACUUCUGGAAUUUUAACAAGCUUAUGAAUGGAAAGAAAGCAUCCAGGUUGUUUCUCAGUCAGUUAGACUUGGAUUUAGGACCGGUUUUCACUCUCCAUAAACUGCAUUUCUUUUUCACUUAGAAGAUCCCCUCCCACCACAAAAGCCCCUUCCCCUUUUGCCAUUGCUGGAAAUAAAUAGCCAUAAUAUAGCUGGAAUUAAUACAGCUACACUGAGUCAACUAAGUGCUGAAUUUUUCUUUCCCAAUGCUCUCCGGGCACCCAGACGUGCUCAAUAGGAAGUGUUGGCACUUGGGGCUACGUAUAGAAAACCAGGGUGUGUGCUGCUGGGGCUGUUAGGGAGGAAAUCUUGUGCCAGCAGCCCUCUGCUGUGGGCCUUCUCCAAGCUUUGUCUCUAUUCCCUCAUUCCUCUGCAGAUGUCCUAAGCCACAUUUUGCUUUCAUUAUGACAAAAAUUGUGCAAGAUACUCAUCUUCUUUUAUUUAUUUAUAUAUAUAUAUAUAUAUAUAUAUAUAUAUAUAUGUAUAUGUAUUUUGUAGCAUUUCUGUGUUCCUACACCUUCUCUCUUUGCGGCAUUGCUUGUGGACAUGUAAGUAGUAGGUUAGUUUCUAUUCUCACUCUGGGGGGUUGGGUUCCAAACUGUUUAUUGAGUAAUAAAAAGAGAAAAUGGCGAGUCAUUGCCCAGGGAUAAUGUGCUAAUAAUUUUAUGACUGGACAAAUGGUUGCAACAGCCCACAAAUGGCUGUAGGCAGGAAACCUGGUGUCUAUUGCUGACAGAGCCACCCCCAAGGAGAUAAAACCUCACUUUUGGUGAUCAAAGUUGAUGCAACAACUGUGAUCUAUUAAAAAUUACUUUGGAGAUGGGUAAGGCAAUCAUUAUUCCUCUUGGAGGAGAAGUGGCGGACAUAGACUUUUUGGGAAGUGUUUAGAAGAGAGCUCUACAUGGGAUGAAUGCAACAGACCACCGUGGCUGCUUGCGCUCGGAGCCACGCGGCGCGCAGCUGCAGGGCUGCAGGCUGGGGAUGCUUGGAGAAACAAAGAUUAAAGGGGGGUUAGUGCUAUCAGGCAAACACGAAUCAUCCCAGAGAUAACAAAGGGUUGAAGUUUAUUUAGCCACUAACCGUAUGGCACUCAAGUGCGUUAGCCUGGCUUGACUGCUGCAGAGCAUGGAGCCGGAAUGGCUGCUGCAGGGCGUACACCAGGAUACACCCUGUCCCACUCUGGGCUGAUGUCCCCUGUCUGAUUACUCAAGGAGGAUGUCCCCCUCCUGGGGAUGGGGCAGUUGUCCCAUCGGCACCAAUUUCUUCCCGCUGUUGUGGAGUUUGGUGGGGAAGGAUGAGCAGGGCCCUUGUGAGGUCUCUCUCUGCCCGUCUCCCAGCAGGCAGGAGGAGCUGUACCUCUUCCAAAGCCGCAGCAGAUCCAGCCCUCGAAGCGGGCAAGAAGCCAUGUGAUGGGGCGUAGCUGCUCGCAGCUGCCAAGACCUCACAUUUGUAUGUUAGUGAUGCAGAUAGGAUCUCAUAAACCCGUCUCCAUACUGCUUUACUGCUGAUUUAACGAUCAGAGGAAGAACUUGACUGUUUAUUAAAACAUUAGACAGUAAAGUUUAACAAUAGACAGUAAAGGGUUUUGUUUUUCCAUCCCUCUGAUUGUUAAAGCAACAACACAUAGGCCUGGAGAGGGGCCUGCUGCUAACCUCAGGAUGAUGGGAUGGGGCCAUGAAGCUCCUCCAGAAGGCAGGAUAGAGCAGCUGGCAUUCUGGCAAAUCCCAUAUCUGAAGAAGGAAAUCUGAUGUAGGGUAUGGGUGCGUGCCCCAUCACCGGAGGCGCUGAGGGCUGGGCUGGAUGGGGCCCUGGGCAGCCUGAGGUGGUGGGGGGCAGCCAGCCCAUGGCAGGGGUAGGACUGGGUGGGCUGUAAGGUCCCUUCCAACCCAACCAUUCUGUGAUUCUAUGAGUCUGACUGCGAGAAGGGGCAAUCCAAUUGCUCUGUGGGCAAGAGUCUCGUGGUAGGGCUCCUGUUGUUCAGCAGACCCACAAACACCGGCAAAGGGAGCAGAUGGAAACAAAACUCGCAAGGCAACAGCAUUAUUCAGGACAGUGCCAACAAAAGCUGACUGCGAAGAAACGCCGAAGGAUUGCAGCGUGCAGGUGAUGAAAUGGCAGAGGAAAUUCAUUGUUGGUAACUGCAGAUAGAGAAAAAUCAGCAGUGGCUGUACCCAUACAGCAGCACCAUCUCAAUGAGCUAUUGCCUCUCUGGAAGGAGGCUGUGGAGGCAAGGCAGGCUGUUUCUGGAAACGUCAGCAGUGAUCACAAAGGCAGUGGCCAUUCUAGGAGUUACGGAGGAAGAAAUGGAGAGUAAAACAGGCUGCCAUUGUGCUGCUGGGUGCAUCCACAGUGCAUCCCCAUCCGAGGUGCUGCCCCUGCUUCUGGUGGCCGUGUCUUGGGGCCAAGGGAAGAUGGAAGAGGAGUUACAGGGACUUCAUAGCAGGACCUCGAGAACUUGAGCUGAAGUGGACAGAUCUGGAGGAGAAGAUGAGAGGAAGAAAGCCCUGGGUGGCUUGGAGGAGUUGGACAUGGAGCUGGACAAGCAUCUGCUCUGUGUCUGUGCUGAUGCUAUUUAGAAACCCCAGCCUUGGCUCUGCUUGACAUUUGGUAAUGCUGAACUGGGACAGCACCCAAAAAACCCCAUCCGUGUUGGACCGUCAGUAAGAGGUGGCACAUCUGACCAAAACCACGUCGCCAUUUGCUUCCUUGACAGCACAUCCUACCUUAUCCCCUGUCCUUGUCCUGCUGACCCCCGUUCCCAGCCUCCCUUGCUCAAUUUCAGCAGCAUCUUGGGAGGCCCCUUCAGCUGCAAGCCCCUCGCUUGGGAAAGAAAGUGGGGUUGGAGGGGGGGGAUCAGAGCCCAGCUGUGGGCUGGGGCAGCAGGCGAGUGCUUUCCAAACGCUGACUGCUGUUGGUGUAUUUCUGCUGGUGAGGAUGCAGCUGGCAGCGUUUGUGUGCAUGCGUUUAUACACACACACACACACACACACAUACUCACCUCCACACGAGUACACGACUAAAAUACAUAUAUUUCCUCACCCCGCAUCUUUCUGCAAGCUGCAAAAAUACAAAAGAAUAAAAUUAAGUCUCUUAUCGCUGCUAAGUCAUCAGAAACUAAUAUUGCAUCUACCGGGCAGUUUUCCCCCUCCCCCCCCCCCGAACCAUCUCCACUUCGCAAUCCUAAUUCAAUGAUUCUUUCUGUAGCUCUUUACAUUCUAUUAUUUAUAAGAAACAAUAUUCAGCCCUCCCCUGACAGUGUUUGCAGGGCUGCGGGAAGCAGUGCGGCAGAAAGGUGGUAGAACAAUUUUGGUUAUGUUUCCAUAGCUACCUAGCUGCUAAAUGUGGUUUAUUCCAUUUUAAAGUCAACCAACACACACCCGCACGCACACGCACAAACCACCAGAUGAAGUGUAUUCAAACUAAUCCCUGGGCCGCCUAUUACAGCCUAAUAUCCCUGCCAUUUGUAUAUUUAAAGGGAUAGUUGCUGCAGAAAUAAAUGGCAGGGCAGCGCUCUCGCUGGCUAGAGCAGGAUGAUCAACAUAUUGUUUCUUUCUUGCUCUCCUCUCCGACGUGUGUGUUCCACUCCAUCCCUGUAAUAUUAUUAUGGAGAUUUUUACCGAGGGCUGAGAGCUGAGGAAGUCGGAGGUAGGAUGGUGUCCUCUCGUGGCAGUCAGCAUCUCUGCAGCCUGAUGGUAGCCGUGCCAAGAGAGAGCCGAGCCUGGGCUCUCCUGGGCAUGCACGGCUGUCUUAGGGACAAAACUCUUGGAGCAGAGCUUCCCACCUCCCCUAGUGCACCCAAAGACGAGGAGCCUCCUGCUUCUGCUCCACGCCAGGCUGGAGGCUGCUGCUUGCUCUUGCUUUCCCUGCGUGAAAGAAGAACCCUUGGGAAAGGAGUGGUGGGUACCAGCUUUGCAGAGCGGAGGAAGUUUGUCCCAUGGAAGUGAGCAUCUCUGAGCUGCCGUGGGUUGGUGGAGAACAUCUCAGAGCUUGUAAUCUAGAACUCCAGGAGGCUUCAGUUUGUGUUAUAGUCUUCCCAGCCAUCACUUCCCCAACAAGUCCUUGCCCUUGGAAAUGGUAAGUAGACAAGUCCUGGGCUGGAGAUGCAUCUCGGCUUUUCAGGACAAGGGCAGGACAAGGUAAGAGCAUCACGCAAGGGUGGUGAGAUUGGACCCACACUGUGUUCUCCUCCCAUGGCCCUGGGACACCCUGGGUUGGUUCAGCCUCACACCAGGUGAGAUGCUGCGAAUGCUGAGCUUUACCAGAACCAUCCCAUUCUCUUCUUCAAUGCUAACACCUAGUUGGGGUUAGCCCAAAGGAUCAUCCAUUGCCCUGGAGGGCUCAUGCUGCAUGCUGAAAAGCAAGUGGGAAGGACUUUGAGGUCAUGCUUGGUUGGUCUCAUUUUCCAAGGGACCUGUGAGCAGAGCUCCUGGCAGAGGCUGAUGAUUGGGUUUUGCCAAUGGGGAGAUAUUAUGAAAAAAUAAAGAAAGAAAAGAAAGAAAGAAAGAAAGAAAGAAAGAAAGAAAAGAAAAGCUUUCCCAGGAUAGCUGCAAUUGAAAUACAGAAUAAUUGCCUGACAUCACAUGCAGAAAGAAGGUGGAGCACGUAGCAGUGAUCAGUAAAAAUGAAACGCUUUGCAGGUGGAGUACACCUGAGUUUUCUGCAGUCCAGAUAUGUACUCAGACUUCCUGGAAUCUUUUGGGGCCUAAUUAAAUUCAAAGGGAUUUAAGCAAAAUCUGCAUGGAAGAUAAUACUUUUCUUUCUAUUAAGGAACUGCUUAAUAAAACAGAUUAUGUGUAAAAUAGAAAUAUGGGCCCUGCAACAGGAAAGUGAAAAGACACUAAUGAGCAGUGUCUGAGUGUUAAUGAAUUGUAUUAGCAUGCCAUUACCUGCAAAUAUUAUAAAUAGACCGACUGGCUUUGCAUUCCCUUCCCUCCCAAGAACUGUAUGUGAUCUCUAGGAGUGGCUUGCUGGGUUUCUGGGAGCUGUGUUCACCCUUUGAGCCUACAGUGGAGGUGGAGAUGAGAACGUUGACUUUUCGUUUCACUACAUCAUGCAUUCCUUUGGGCAUUCUGAAGCCACCAGGGGAGAGAAGAUGGGGGACGCUGCAUUUUAUUUGGCUUAGCCCAUAGGCCACAUUGGGAAGGAGACAAAACAGCUGCGUGCUGCGGGAGGGUAAGAUGGGAUGGGGUUGUGGCAAACCCACCCCUGUGCUUUCCCCAUCACAGCGAUGGACAAGUCCAGAGAUAUUCUGGGUAGAGAAGCUGGGAGGAGAUGCUACCAAUAAUUGGGAGGGAUGUCAAGAAGAAAUGAUGUAUUUAAACAUACGGACAAGGAUACCUCACCCCUCACCAGCCAUGUAAGGGUUAGUUGUGUGCUCGUUUUGCUGCUCUCUGCAGUCCAUGCAGAAGCAAGUUUCUUGCAGAAGUCUUGGCCCGAAGAGGUGUCCAUGGCAGAUGGGUUCAGCUGUUCUCUGGAGGGUUCUCCUCCUGUUGAUAACAGAGAGAGUGUAGGCAAGUUUGAGACCCAGUACAUGACUUUCAGUCAGUGCUGUUAGCAGAGACAAGCCCUCUUCCCUCCUGGAUGAGGUGCAAACAGCUGUAAUUCUGCAAAAUUCCAUGUGGGUUAGUGCUCAUUUCUUAAACAGCCCAAGCUGUCAGGAAUAGCCGAUGUGUGUGAGGAAGAGGAGUGAAGGAGCUGCUGCUUUCUGGCUGCAAUUCGGAUCUCCUGCUUCGACUUCAGAGCCAACAUCCAGACCUCCUGCUCGCCAGGGGCUGUUCCACUGGGUGCUGCAGACCCAGAGUGCCUCAUAAAUCACCGCUGACUGCCGGGAUCGCUUUGGCCGCUCUUCCCCAUCGUCCUGUCUGCAGGAAUGGGCUGCACGUUUCCACGUGGAUCGGGUCUGAAUUGGCUGUCUGAAUCCAGAGAUUAAAGAAACAGCAGCCUCUCUCUCUCCUGUAACUGGCCCGAGAAUCCAUGAGCAUCCUCAGAAGUCUGAAGAGAAUGGGCAUCCUGUCUAUAUCCAAGGCAGGUAAUCACUGUAAAGGGUGGCUGGAAGGGCAAAAGCUGCAUUUCCCCACGCUGGGGGCUGCGGAGGAGGCAGAGGCAGAUACCUGGGGCUCCCUGGCAGCGCUUGCUGAAGAUCAGCCUUGAUCAGAACAGGUCUUCUCACAGGAAACAUCAACUUUUUGUCAAAAAAGCCUGAAGAUAAAUAUUCUUGGAUGAAAACCUAUAAAAAGCUCAGACUGACAAACUAUUUUUUUUAGGCACUUCUUUUUCUCCCAACAAGAAUAUAUCUGUCAAGAGAAACAGAUGUUCUCUAUGAAGAAUCUUCUUUAAUUACAAGUCUGUCAAAAAGAGAAAUCUUCAAGUGUCUCAAGCCUCAAAUCUGCGAAUGGCUUCAGCCCUGGGCAAGAAAUCACCCCUUUCCUGAGCAGCCCCAGUGCCCUUUCUCAGCUCUUGUCAUGUCAUCCCUGCAGCUGCACCAAUAAACUGGGCAUUUUUGGAGUUUAGUUUUCAGAUGAGCCCGCUUCAAAUCAAUGGAGCUGCUGCUUUUCGUGACUCCUGGGAAUAAGAUGGCGUGGAAACAACCCACGGCCAUGCCCAAAUAAGAAAACUAAAAGAAUUAUUGGUUUUGGUCAACCUGGAACAUGGCUCUUUUUGCCCUGACAUUUUCCUAGAGGAAAGUGAAACUCUUCAUCUACAGAUUCAAAAAGUCCCAAAGGCACUCUGUCAGACAUCUCCCAACGUGCUCUCUCAGUUAUUGCUGGAUGGAUCAGAAGUUCUCCAGGGAGCAGUGAAGAUGUUUUUGCGGGCUACAUAACCUCAAAGGCUGAAAAUACUCAAUUCCAGUGUCUGCUUCUUGCUUCCAGAGGAGAUAUCUGCUCUUUGUCUUCAUCUUCAUCGUCAUCAUCUUUGUCUUUGUCUUCAUCAUCUUUGUCUUCAUCUUUGUCUUUGCUUUGUCUUUGUCCUCCUUCUCCUUCUUUCUCUCUCUCCUCUUCCUCUUCCUUUUCCUCCUUCCUCCAGCUCCUAAAUCCCCACCUUCCCUCCUUUCCUUCUCCCCAUCAUGCAUUGCAUGCUGAAUGCAGGAGGCUCUCAAAGGCAAGAGUCGGCCUGGGACACUCUUACCCACAAUAGCAGUGGUGAACAGAACCCAGGUUUUCAGCCAGGAAAUUUCACUGGUAAUCUCCUGCGAGGGAGGCACUCCCAUUUUUCAUGAUGGUUGGCCCUUGCGGGAUAUGGAUGAAAAGAGAAAGCAUUUCAUUUGCUCUUUGAAAACUGGAGCUAUAGAUCAAGGCCCUGCUCAGUCCCCUGAAGACUAGAAAUGGGAUUUUUGCAAGAAUUGAGGCUAUCCUCUCUGAAAACUAAAACAGUUAUCUACACUUUCAUCGAGAGGUCAGCAGUAGAGAUUUUUCUCCAACAGCUGGAUAAAUCCAGGCUGUUAGUGCCUCUCCUUCCCACUGUUCUCUGUUAUUGCUUUUCAUUACGUGAAGGGUGAGGAACAAGCAAAUACCUCUGCUUUCUAGCUUUGCCCUUGCCCGUUUGUACAAAGCAGCCAAACAUUUCCUUCUGACACUCAGGACCCAAGCACCUUUGGUGUCUGAUAUUUCUCCUUGGAUGCCGUGGUCUGGAUGCAGUUGCUCAGGGCUGCUUAAUCCUACCAGAUGGCAUAGAAAUGUUAUUUUUUGGACACAGGCACUCCUCUUGCCGGGUAUGGGUGCCACGGGACCAGGGCAUCCUUUGUCACCUGGACCCAUUGUGAUCUCCUGUAACACUGGGCAGGAGGGUUUGCGGAAUCACGCUGCAUCCUGCGUCCCUGAGCCUUGCAGCCAUAAAUCCUUUGCCUCUGCCACAACUGUGAUUGAGCCUGCCUGGCUUAAUUUAUUUCUCCAGAGCCCACACAGUUAUGGUAGAGAUGAUUGCCUGCUCAAGGAGCAGCACUUGGGAUGAAAUCUUUUCCUCUUGAGAGUGCUGCUGGAAAAACAAGGCAGUGUCCGUGAGCUGCCAGCAAUCCCCAUGUAGGCAUUGUCUUUGCUUGGCCACUUCUUUGCGGUGCUCUCAUCCUUCCUGACCUCUCCCCUUCUCUCCCUUCCUUUAAGUCCUUUUCUCUCUGUUUCAUUUCUACCUAUGUCUCUUCCUCUUCAGGUUCCUCGCUAGGCACUGGAGCUGAUUGCAGUGGUGAUCCAGCAAAUCACAGUAGUGAUGCUGCUGAUGGAAUAACUCCUUGGGGUUCCACGCGGUUGCUGUGCGGGCACUGAGUUUCAAACUGCAGAAAAGGAGCAGGAAAGCCUGAUAUUUGGGUGCAUCAACUGGAGCUUUCAUCCCCACCCCAGGGAGAUGGGUUUUGGAGCCCUAGCAGUCUGCCCACCCUAUGGACAUGGCCAGAUACCCCCAGUUCCUUCCCAAGCACUGCUACCCAGAGAGGUGCUCUGUCCUGGCUAUGGGAGUUGAGCACGAAUAACUCACAAAUAAUGGAAAUCCCCACCAUGUGCCCCCAGCAUUGGCACGGCUCAGAGCCCUGCAAGAAGCGCGCUGCCUUGUUUGUCACCUGAAGCACUUGGAAAAAUUACACAAAUCCAUCAAUGUAAUGAAUCUUCUCAGCAGUGGCGAAUAGACAGAGACAGACAGGCACUCAGCUGAAACAAGUCAUCUUUAAAAAUUAAUACAAAAUAAACAGCUGGCCUUUCGCUCCGCUUCCAGGUGGUGGCUGCGUGGUUUGGGCGAGGGCUGGGCAGGGAUCAAUGAUGGUUCCCAAUGGGAUCACGUCCCUGGGGCAGGGAAGUGUCCUCUGCCGUGUCCCUGUCACUGUCACAGUGUCACCUCCAUCUGCUGCUGCUCCAGGAAUGGUGGUGCAGCGCGGCAGUCAGUGUUGCACUGCGUGAGUGACUGCUUAAGAAACAGCCAAAUCUUUGGGAAUGCCAAAGCCUCAUCACCUCCCUACAGCCUUGCCAGGCUUCUGCCAGCCCUCUGGGCUCUCACAUCAGUUUGUCAGUGUCUGAUGGAGCUUGUACACUCCUCAGAGGACAGGCUGAGCUUGCUCUCCUGCUUGUCACGAUGUGGGCUCCAUAAAUAAUUAACAGCGGUGCUGCUUCUGCCCUCGAGCUUUCAUUUCAUUACCCAGGAAUAACAUACCCACCUAUAUACGUGUGUAUGUACAUGUCUGCGUGUAAUACGCAUCCAUAUGUACUUACAUUGCUUAAACAUCUGUUUCACCGGCCAGCCUCUCUGCUUUUCCUUCGGCCAUGGCUCUGUCUCCCUGCUGGUCCCAAGGGCAGGCAAGCAGCAGAAGGCGCUGCUCUCGACCGUGAGCAUCCCACCAGUGCUCCAGCUGCUCCUGCUCUGAGGCCAGGCUAUUUACGAGGUACCCAUGGGGCUGCCCUUGCCCUGCAGAGUGUGGGGAUGGAGAGCGGGGAGGAAGACGGAUGGAUCCUGAAUUGAGGUGAAUUUAUGGGGCUUUGCGAUUCCUGCUGCUGUAUGUCUCCGAGAAAUGACACCGCCACUUCAGGAGCAGAGAUUAAUCUGAGCCGGCAGGAGAAGGACAAAACAAAUCAUCUACUGCAGGAAUCUCAUUUGAUGCCUGUUAGUAAAAGCACUGCGAUGAAUGGCUUUUGUAAAGACCGCGUAGUACAGGCUUUUUUUUUUUCCUCCCUUUUCUCCAUUCGUCUGCAAAUUGAGGUCUGUGAGGUGUGUGGUGGAGGCACCCCAGGGUCACUCAUGGCCAGGCACAGGACAAGGACUCCCAGCAGCUUUGUGCACUGUGAGACAGGAGAGCAAAAAAGGGAAGGCAGAGCUCCCAGCGCGUCGUACCCAAGGAAGGAAUCCUUCGCUUUUGUUUUUAAAAGGGCAUUGAUUCUCACGUCCUGCAGAACACGGGGUCGGGGCAGCCUGCAGCCCCAGACAGAACAUCCCAGUGCUGCUCUGCAUCCCAGCCAGCAGCAGCUGGAUGCGGCCCAGUGGGAGCAGUACCAGCACCGAGCACUCCUCCCGCACGCCGCUGUGCAUCCCAGCUCAAUACAGAAUCAAUUGGAUUGAUCUUUUUUUAAGGUGCAGCCUCCGAACGGCUGAGACUGUGAGAGACGUGGCUAAGCACGCACUUCCACAAAAUAAUUUGUCAGGCCCCGCUGUAGAAACCUAAUGAUGGCUGUAAUUUAUUGCUGACAGACGAUAUUUAUCACCGCAGCAUCCCCUCUUUCUCUUCCUCUGUCUCGUUAGGAAUGGCAUCAAUAAUGUUUAUUGUAGCUUUUAAUUUUUUAUCGCUGGUAUUCUUACCUGUGCUGCUGAGGGCUGCAGGAGAUGGGAAAGGCGUCAGAGCAGAUGGAGGCUCAGCUCUGUGCUGAAGGGUGAGCGAUGAAGGCUGGAAGUUCCUCCUGCGUGCCCAUGCAGGGAGCGUGCAGUGCCAGAGAGCACCCCGAUAGCAGGGAAAAGUGAGCUGUUCCCAUAAAGCUUACUCCCUCUCUUCUGAGCCUUUGGACCUGUGCAAGGGAUGCUCAGACCCAGCAAAGCAGUGGCAUUGCUUUGGUUUUCCCCAGACGCUGCUCCCACGUGGGGCUGGAGAAGGAACAUCACCCCUCCGCUGCUGCACCUGCAUUGCUGCGAUCAUCUCACACCUGAUGAUGCCCACAAGCCCUGUGGUCACAGUUCUUGUCCCUGAAAGCAACCAAAACCCCAACUCCAAUCCUGAAAUCUCCUUUUUUUCCCCUCGUUUUCCUACAGUUUUUCCUACCCUUGAGGAAAUGUGCUGCACCAGGUUGUGAUGCCCUAUAAACCAGCACUUCCCAGAGGGGAUUUCUUCCCCCUUUCCAGACGUGAAUAAUUACCCAGGCAGAGGCUGUUCCAGCCUCGUUACAGGAGCCUCUCAGACUAGCCGGUCAUUUACAGAUUAGAUAGAUGUUGCCCACGUUGUUCAUAACUGAUUAUGGGAUUGGCAGUUUGGCUCUCACCCAAAAUUCAGAGUCCUGAUUUAGCAUAAUUGGAAGUGAAUGGCGGAGCAGGCUGGGGGAUGGGGAUGGUGCCUGCUGCUGAUUUCCUAAUGCCGGCUUUGGGGAUCCCUGACAAGCUGCGGAGUGCUCUUUAUAGGGCAAUAACGUUUACGGUGUGGGUUGUCUGGGGGAGGAACUCCUGUGAUGGCAGCAGCCACCUCCUGCACGUCCCAGAUCGAAGCUGGAGAAAUCAAGAAUACCAGAAAAGCAACG